UACCUUAUAAUAAAAAUGUAUGUAGCAGUAACUGGGACCAACAAGCCUGCAGCUUCAACUGGCCCAGAGAUCAACCAAGUCAAGGAUGCCUACAUCAUAGCUGUGGAAGAUGAGGCCAAAAAGAGGCUUGAAAAAAUCUCCUCCCGUCACCAAGUCGUCCCCGUGGAUAUGACAAAACUGUCACACGGCAGCAGUGCAAGCAGCAGUUCUUCCACCACUAGUACUACACGUGCAGAAAUUCUCGUGGACUGUCGUAAGUUAGCUGUAGAGAAUCCUGCAUAUGAACCGUCUUUGCUAUCUAGUUCAUCACACCAUCAAUUUGUUGGAAAUGGACAAGUAGAAAACACCACAGACAUGAAUGGGUUUGCAGAAUUGGACACGCCCCGAAAAGGGAAGAAAAAAGACAGUAAACGAAGCAGUAAAUCUAGUAAUAACAGUGGAACAGAUUCUCCAUUUAUAGAGACUAUCAGUGGCCACAAUGUUCUCAAGCGGCGAAGUCAAAAUUCCCUUAAUAGGUCACGUGAUGAUGUGCAAGAAUUUGAGGAUAGUAUGAGUGACGCUUACAUGCAAAGUUCGUUUGAGGUUGAGUUUGAUGACUCAGGUCCUCAUCGUGAAAUGGCAAUUGAUUGCCCGGAUGAUUUCCCUCCAGCUGUGAAGUCACCCCCUCGGUAUCCCCCUCCUCCUCACUCACAGUCGUCCUCAACACGUUCGCUCCCACGUGCCCCUCCCUCAACCCCUGCCAAGUCAUUAGAUCUUGCCAAUAACACAACCUCAACAGACAAUACGUUAGAGUUUGUGGCAAAUUCCGUCUCAAACGGCCAUCAGAAUUUAAGUGAAGACCAAGUGGAACGGAUACGUAAACACCAAGAAGAGCUACGCAAGCGCAGGGAUGAGGAAAUCAGGAGAGCGCAAGAGCAAGAGUUCCUCAGGACUUCACUCCGGCGUUCUAAGAAACUGCAAGCACUGGAGACCUCGAUGAAGCAGACUCCAGUUGUGGGAGUGGUCAACACGGCAUAUGAGGAGAAUGACGAUGAGGUGGAGGUGCUAGAUGACGGCUUCGGCAGUGCCCGGGGAUCAUCACAACGGGACAAAUACAUGAAGAAAAAUAUAGGAGUAGACGAUUUAUUUUCAACGCUGCAUCACAUACAGAGCCGACUUAAUGCUGCUGAGGAAAGAGAUGAACUCUCUUUUUUGAAAAACUUGUUUCACAGCAGUGAGUUUCAAAAUGCUGUACAUGUGCACAGUAAAAUUACAGACAUUUCUCGGCAAUCUCCACCCAACAAGCCAGAGUGUACAAAUGCUGUACAGAUUUCUAAUGAGGUGUUCCAGGCACUGCAGUACACAGAGUCUCCAUACUCGUCAGAUCUGAUGGACAUGCUCAGUCAGCCAGGACUGCGGAACCUUCUGCGAGCCCAUGAUAGUAUAGCAGAACAAACCUCCAAGCCAGCCGUCCACGAGAAUGUGGAUGACCUGCAGGACUAUCCAAUCACCUCUUAUGGAGAGGAUACAGUACGAAUUGUCUACCUGGAGAAGACCAGUGAGCCCUUGGGUGCUACUGUACGUAAUGACGGGGAGGCCAUCAUUAUUGGGCGGAUAGUCAAAGGAGGUACAGCGGAAAAGAGUGGCCUAUUACAUGAGGGAGAUGAAAUUCUAGAAGUAAAUGGAGCGGAAAUGAGAGGCAAAAAUAUCAAUGAUGUAUCUGACAUGCUGGCUGACAUGACAGGCACCAUCACUUUCAUGAUCAUUCCAUCUGCCAAUUUUGCCAAAACCUCCUCAAAUGGCCCAGUGAUGCAUGUGAAGGCCUUGUCUAACUACGAUCCUGAGGAUGACAUCCUGAUCCCCUGUCGGGAGCUCGGUAUCUCUUUCAUGAAGGGAGAUAUCCUCCAUGUGAUUAACCAGGAAGACCCCAACUGGUGGCAGGCAUACCGGGAAGGGGAGGAAGAGCACCAGUCUCUGGCUGGGCUUAUCCCGUCCCGUCACUUCAGACAGCAAGUUGAAGCCAAUAGGAAAAUUUUAGCUGGUGAAAACAAAGAAAAUCAAAAGACGGGACGGUCAUGUGCCUGUGGAAAGAAAGAUAAAAAGAAAAAGAAGAAGUCAUUGUAUAGGGAAACAGAUGAUACAGAGGAAGCCCUGACCUACGAGGAGGUUGUUCAGUACUACCCACAACCCAACAAGAAGCGCCCGAUUGUUCUGAUAGGUCCUCCAAAUGUAGGUCGCCAUGAACUUAGACAGAGACUCAUGGAGUCCGACUUGGACCGAUUUGCUGCUGCUGUCCCUCACACUAGCCGUCCACAGGAAGAGCAUGAAGUGGAUGGGAAGGAUUACCAUUUUGUACCUCGUGCCAUAUUUGAGGCAGACAUCAUUGGACGAAAGUUUAUAGAGCAAGGAGAGUUCCAGAAGUCAUUGUAUGGCACAACAUUUGGUGCAGUCAGACAGGUCAUCAACCAGGGCAGGAUUUGUAUCCUCAACCUUCAUGCUGAGACUUUGAGAGAGUUAUAUACAUCCGACCUGAAACCGUAUGUGAUUUUAGUGUAUCCACAAAACAUGGAGAAACUGAGACAAAUUCAACAACGACUGGGACAGACCAAAAUCACUGAUGAGGAUCUGAAGGAUACUGUUGAUCGAGCACGUGAGAUGGAAGACAAGUAUGGACACCUGGUCGACUUCAUCCUCGUCAACUCAGACAUGGACUUGGCAUAUGAGGAGCUCCUCAAAGAAAUAAAUCGGAUAGAGGUGGAGCCUCAGUGGGUACCCGCCCACUGGCUGACGAGUGACAGGUGACUUCUCUCCCUGAAGACAAGAUAGUGGUGUCACUUGAUGGUUAACACUGCCCAUUUAUAGAUGAACAACUCCAUCCAUACAUUGACAUUAUUUUCUGAAGGAUAAGGUACAGGAUGUAGGGGGGGCAGAAAGGCCCUGUAAUCCAUUGACAUGUGACCUUCCCCAGUUUGGUAAUGGAAGAGUCAAUGUCAAGGCUCCCUCUGUGAAUCAGUUAUUUGAUUGGCUCCUAAUAGUAUACCUCAAGAUAACAAUGAGGUACAGCAUAAUCAGCCCAUUAGGAGAACAGGGAUGUGUAUUUAGCUAGAUGUAUACCUAGUCCUAAGAGUGUAUGCCUUUCGUAGGAUUUUAGGACGGUUUUAUUGUGUACAGAAAGUGCUCUAGAGAGUGGAAUCAUGUAAUCUUCCAUAGUUUUAAUAUUUUUAAACUACCAGAUAGACUACGCACAUAACAUAAUUUGUAUAUGGAACUAAUGUUAUGAGGAUCAGCUUGCCAUUAAUAAUUGUGAAAUCAGAUCAAAAUAACAAGGUAAGAAAUUAACACUGCUAAACACUGGAUGUUGGGUGUACAUAUGCAUACCUACUAUGUACCCAGAUGGGUGGAUGACCAAGAUAUAGCUACCAGCUCUGCUAGAAAAAAAACUGUUUUAUAGGAAUUACAGUCCGUCUUUAUAUCUUUUAUCUAGUACAGAAACAAUAAACAUAACAUGGUAUUCAGGAUAGAUACUAUAUAGAUGUCUAGUAGAAUCACACAGAAAUAUGAUAUGUAUAAGGAUACAGUAUAAUAUUAAGUUUUUGCAGCAUAUUUACUUUUGCAGCUUUUGUCGUUGAAGUCGAACCACAAAACAUACGAGUAAUUUAAUUGACUCCACCGGUAUUUCAAAAGAGCAGAACUGUCCUUACUGCGACAGAAACUACCCAAAAAGGUUUGAUCAUAUUGUAUUACAGUACAAACUUAACAAUUGUAUUAAUGUAGGGAAGUGAAAUCACAGAGUUGGGUUAGCAUACAGGAAAUGUCAAAGGUUGGCUAGGAUACAAGAUAGGUCAAAGGUUGGCUAGGAUACAGGAUAGCUGAGAGGUUUGAUAGGAUACAGGAUAGAUCAGGUUUAAUAGGAUACAGGUUAGGUCAGAGGUUGACAAGGAUACAGAAUAGGUCAGAGGUUGACAAGGAUACAGGAAAUGUCAAAGGUUGACUAGGAUAUAUUAAAUGUAAAAGGUUGACUAGGAUACAGGAAAUGUCAAAGGUUGACUAGGAUACAGGAAACGUCAAAGGUUGACUAGGAUACAGGAAAUGUCAAAUGUUGGCUAGGAUACAGCAAACAUCAAAGGUUGACUAGGAUACAGGAUAGGUCAAAGGUUGACUAGGAUACAGGAUAGGUCAGAGGUUGAAUAGUAUACAGGAUAGGUCAGGUUUAAUAGGAUACAGGAUAGGUCAGAGGUUUAAUAGGAUACAUGAUAGGUCAGGUUUAAUAGGAUACAGGUUAGGUCAGAGGUUGACAAGGAUACAGGAUAGGUCAGAGGUUGACAAGGAUACAGGAUAGGUCAGAGGUUGACACGGAUACAGGAUAGGUCAGAGGUUGACAUACAGGAUAGGUCAACAAGUAUACCGAUAGUUCAGAGGGGUCAAAGGUUGACAAAGAUACAUGAUAUGUCAGAGAUUGGCUGGGAUACAUUAUAGGUCAGAGAUUGGCUUGGAUACAUGAUAAUUGAGAGUUUGUUAGCAUAUUUUCAUUGUUGUAUGCAGAUUGUCAUAACUUUUCAUUUAUUUUACAUAUUUUAUGAAGUGUCUUCCGGUUGACUGUUUUUUUAAAGACAUAUUUUAUUCAUCGGUUGAAAAGUCCAGUCUAGUUCCUGUUCCUUAUUCGGCUGAUAUCAAGUGCCACAUGUACAUCUAAUCACUGUGUUAUACAUCAUCAUGUGUAUGCUGGGUAAAAGUUGACUGUGGAACAGGACCUGGACCACACAGUGACAUGUGUACAGUGUCUAGAUACACGUCCAUCUGUCUGGCUUGUUUUUCUUGAUAGAAUUGCAUUCCAUCCAUUCAAUAUAAAUUAUAUAUAUUCUUAUUGUUAAUAACAUUGUUAUCCGUCAAUUCUGAUAACAUUCACAUAUCAUCCAGACAUUUAUAUUUGCUGAACAGAGUGUUUCUGUCUCUGUUUACUUUUGAGUAGGAACUGCGUCCUUCUUGUAAAUUUCAAAAUUUCUUCCUUUAAUCAUGUGAUAUCUAUCGACGUCACUAUGACGUACCAGUGGUAUCAAGCAUCUCUAGUUAAUAAUGAUUUCUUGAAACUGCGGAAGUGCAAGUAUUUGUGUGUCUUGUAUCAGGGCAUUCUUUUUAUCCAUAGACUGUUUGAAGUUGUAAUAAUUACAAAGAAAUCAUAGAUUUAAAUGUUGUUCAAUUGUAUAGAUAAACCAAUGAAUCGAGAAAGACCUGAUUCCUGGUUGUAUAGAUGUACAUGCUCACUUUGUCUACAUAGGCCAGGUUUCCUGGACAUACAGCUGUACAUCAGAACCAUACCUGCUGUGGAAUGUUGAGAGCACUACACUGGGACGUCUAUAUACAAUGUAUUCUAAAGUAUAAAUCAACAGUUAACAAGUUUUAUAUAACAUUUCAGAAUGUUUUCAUUUCUGAACAUAACCUUUGUGUAGAUAUUUAUGUAUUGAAAAGUUUACGUACUUCAAAGGAAGGAAGCACACAAUUCUAUAUAAUGUUUUUAUACAUAGAGCAAGCAUGUUCAAGGUUCGUGUGUAGAAACUUCUAACGACAAGUAGCACAAGUUCUUUUUAGUGAACUUUUAUGGUUGUUUAAAUAUUAAUUCAAAUUGGUUGUUUAUAUAUGUAUCAACAUUAAACAAGGGACACAAGGACAGUUGUUUUCUAAGUCAAGGUCGACAUAAUAUUAUGUCGGUUCAUGUUUUAUACUGUUAUUGCGUCAUUUUCUAUUCCUCAUUAAUACAUUUAAAGGUUAGUUGUGAGAAUGAGUUUUUGCCCAAAUUAACUGAUAUAUUACGCCGUUUGUAUAGGAACUACUCACAUUAAUGCGUUUUGGUUGCAUUACUGUACAUGUACCAAAUAUAACCAUUAUAUAGAAACUUAAAACCUAUAAUACCUCUGUCAUUCUAACUGUUCAAUGUGGACAAUGAUUAAUUACAUCAUGGUUGUGAGAUAAUAAGUAUCAGUCAACAGACAUUGUGUCAUUUGAUCCAAGCAGACAACCAAAUUCUAUAACCAGAACCCUUCCUGGAUAGGUUUCUCAAAUCUCUUCAUACAAGUUCAGUUGAAACAUUUUCCCAUAUAGCAGACCAUUGCACCUGUACUGGUGGAAAACAGCGCUGUUGGUAACUUUAUUAAAGUCAAAGGAUUCUGUCAGAAUUUUAAAUUACAGAGAAAAAUAUCGAACUUUUUUCUUUGAGAAUAAAUUAGAUUUUUUAUUUUUUUAUGUUUUCUGUAAAACAAUUAGUAUGCAUGGUAAUAUAAAGGAAAGCAUGCAUGCUUUUUCUGAUUAAUGUAGGAAAGGAGGAGGUACAUGUUUUAAUCACGGUGCUAAAAUAUACAUUGAACAUGUCUACUUGCCUUUUAUGUGAAAUGAUUUAGAAUUUCUGUGUUGUAAUGUUGGGAUGUCGUCACAUAUCUGGUAGCCAUUCUUAAACAGGUAACAAGAUGAAAUCAUGUGUAUUAAUGUAAUGUAAACCAGCACAAUCAUGUAAAAUGUAGUUUAUAGUUAAGUUUGUACACAUUUACAAGGGAAGAGAUAAUGUUUUUUUAUGAUUAUGUCUCCAAAGAGAAACAAAUGUAAAACAGAAAAACAAAUGUAAAACAGAAAAACAAAUGUAAAACAGAAUUCUUACAAAUACAUGAUGAAAAUAAGUUAAAUUUCAAGUCACUCCAUCUGAGACUCAGUCUGGAAAUCUUGUACAAUUUGCCUUUUUUCAGUGUCAAUAUUAAAAUAGUUUGAAAAUGUAUUACUUCACUUUGGCUCAAAUAUAUUGAAUCGUUUUGUAUAAAACUUGUUUAGUAUGCUUAUUCUCACGAUUGAUCUGUGUGCUGUCCGUCUUGUUAACACUCUGCUUGUUAUAAUCACGUAUAGGUUGUUUAUAGUGCUGGCGUAUUACAUUUCAUGGAUUCAUCUUGUGUUAUCAAGCAUAUAAACAUUUCAUGACAACAAGAAAAUAGACUUUCCUGAUUUCUCCAUCACAUGUUUUAGAAUUUAUUGUUGUGUUAUCAUCAUGAAUUUUUCAAUUGAUGCGUAAGCUGGGCUCAAUUUUACAUAUAUAUAACAGACAUUAAAAUUUAAGGUUUAUUUUAAUUUCUUUGCUAUUAUAUAUAAUUAAUUUCAACUGUGAAAGAAAUACACAUCACUUCAAUAUCUUUCAAUCAAUAAAUACUGACUUUGAUUGACAUGCAAACAGAAAAUUACUAACAUUACUAAAUUUGAAAACAGUUUUAAUAUUUGCCUUUUUUUUAUUCAGAAAUAUAAUUACAUGAAGUAAGUUCAUUAAGCUGCAUUGUGUACAGCUGUACUUCGUUGACAGGUUUUAUUUGGAAAUUGAAGUACAGAGAUGCAGUUAAGUUCAAUAAUUAAAGAUGUAACAGAUUAUGUAAAUUGAGCUGAAGAGAAUGUUACCAGAGUUGAUAUUAUUGUCUGUACAGAUUUUUAUGUUAUUACGUAUGUGGAUAGAAUGUUUAAAGUGACAGAAGAUAGGUUAAUUGGAUGGCUUAGGAUGGCACUAGUGAACUCUAGGGCCAGGUUGUAGGUUUGUGUGCUAUACUGCACUGUUAGUGAAGACAGUUCCUCCAAGAUUAUAUUUUCUGCUGGUGACACCCAUACAUAUGAAAGAAUAAUUGUAUAGGUUUGAUUCUCAUUAUUUCCAUUUUAUCAAGUAUGAAAACAGCCCUUUAUACAUGUAAUGUUUUGUUUGUUUAAUAUUGCUUAUGUUUCCAAUCUCUAACAGAGGUGAGUGGUUAUUAGUAGGCCCAACCCUUUUUGUGUAAUGUAAACCUGGCUGUGCUUCGUAGCUUGUAGGUACAGUGGGCAACAUGGAACACGAUAAGGGAGGUGUUUGGAUGAUGCUUCAAAGUCCAGAUAACUUUGUCAGAACACUUGUAAAUCUGUCACAAGCGAACAAACUGUUGUCAAUGAUGAGGUAAAUGUAAUUGUGACAUGUUGACCUUAAAAGUAGUCAGGGAGAAGUUUGUUAUAUUUUGUGGAAAGUUUAUUGAACAAAACAGUGCAAUGAAUUUAUUUUUUGUCAAGUUACAAACAUAUAGAGAAGAUAGAAAAUGUGUAAACCACAGUUAUAAAUACAGUUAUUAUUUUGUAAAUAGGCUAUAUGAGUGUACAUAUUUGUUUUGUAAGAAAAUCCACACUAGUAAGUAAUCUUCUGAUAUACGGGACUGGUUUUCUAUAUUGUAGGUCAUGAUUGAUCACAUUGCAAAUACAAUAAAUACAAUUAUUUUCAUACACAUAACAUUGCUAUAUAUGAUGUAACUUAUUCAGACUGUACAGAUAUGUACCACAGAUAUUAAAGCUGUCAAGCAAGA
rnacentral:misc_RNA from 1 species